AAGAUGCAUUUCUUGUUUGUUAGAUUACGUUGUCUAAUGCCAAUAGCACCAAGAACUCAUCACAAACUCUACAUGGCUCAUGCAUAAUCGUGGAAGGCAAGAGUAUUUUUUCUUUCUAUUGUGAUAGAUUACACAUACUAAGUAGAAGGGAAUAAUUAUAAAUUAUUUUUCCAUAUUCACGACAUCUGCACAUUGGAAUUUACUGAUUGUUAAAUAAAUUUCUUGCUCACAGGGUCUCGUGUAAAUUUUGUUCGAGUUCAAAUUUGAGGCCUCAAUGCAGCAGCGGUCUGAUCGAAACCAGCUUUCUACAUCGACAAGCUCGAGCACGUAAAUGAGAAGGAUAUUUAUCUUGAACAUAGUUACAAAACAAAUAUUUUUUUUAACUUGUAUCGAAUUGAAAAAUUAGGUGGCUUUCUUAAAUUUUAAUGCAAAACUCAUUCGAGUUUUCUUUCGGUCUAUGUAUUAUAUAUUUUGACUAUUGUGGAAUCGUAUGUGAAUUUGGU
rnacentral:lncRNA from 1 species